rnacentral:rRNA from 1 species
GUUUGAUCAUGGCUCAGAACGUACGCUGGCGGCACGCCUAACACAUGCAAGUCGAACGAAGUAGCAAUACUUAGUGGCAGACGGGUGAGUAACAUGUGGGUAUCUACCCUUUGGCCUGGAAUAACACGAGGAAACUUGUGCUAAUACCGGAUAAGUCUUUACGGAGAAAGCUUUAUGCACCAUUGGAUGAGCCCGCACUUGAUUAGUUUGUUGGUAGGGUAAUGGCCUACCAAGACUAUGAUCAAUAGCUGAUUUGAGAGGAUGAUCAGCCACAUUGGGACUGAGACACGGCCCAAACUCCUACGGGAGGCAGCAGUGGGGAAUCUUGCACAAUGGAGGAAACUCUGAUGCAGCGAUGCCGCGUGAGUGAAGAAGGCCUUUGGGUUGUAAAGCUCUUUCGUCGGGGAAGAAAAUGACUGUACCCGAAUAAGAAGGUCCGGCUAACUUCGUGCCAGCAGCCGCGGUAAUACGAAGGGACCUAGCGUAGUUCGGAAUUACUGGGCUUAAAGAGUUCGUAGGUGGUUGAAAAAGUUGGUGGUGAAAUCCCAGAGCUUAACUCUGGAACUGCCAUCAAAACUUUUCAGCUAGAGUAUGAUAGAGGAAAGCAGAAUUUCUAGUGUAGAGGUGAAAUUCGUAGAUAUUAGAAAGAAUACCAAUUGCGAAGGCAGCUUUCUGGAUCAUUACUGACACUGAGGAACGAAAGCAUGGGUAGCGAAGAGGAUUAGAUACCCUCGUAGUCCAUGCCGUAAACGAUGUGUGUUAGACGUUGGAAAUUUAUUUUCAGUGUCGCAGGGAAACCGAUAAACACACCGCCUGGGGAGUACGACCGCAAGGUUAAAACUCAAAUGAAUUGACGAGAUCGGAAGAGCGUCGUGUAGGGAAAGAGUGUAGAUCUCGGUGGU